CAGAAUCAUAUUACAAAAUUUACACAUGAAAACUAGACACGUUUAGAAAAAGGAGACAGAAAACAUCUAGCUAUAUUAUAAUGAGGAUAUAAUGUCAUAAGUACACACACAAGCUAGAUACCCAAUCACCUUUGAAAGCUCACGAUGAACAGCAUCUCCAGUACUACUGCCAAAUUUGAAGUAGUGGGUUAAGGUGUCCAGCAGUUGCUUUGGAGCAGCAGUCUCAUUCUCAGAUUCCAACAACAUAGCCUCUGCUAUAAAUUCAGCAGACUGGUCCCCAGCUUGAAAAAUAAAGCUAUCAUGCAUCUCCAGGAGCCCCUUUUUGGCUUCUUAAGGUCUCCAGCAGUUGCUUUGGGGCAGCAGUCUCAUUCUCAGAUUCCAACAACAUAGCCUCUGCUACAAAUUCAGCAGACUGAUCCCCAGCUUGAAAAAUAAAGCUAUCAUGCAUCUCCAGGAGCCCCUUUUUGGCUUCAGCAAUUGCAAGUUGAACUUCUUGAUUAUAAACCAACUUAUCCAGCCCAAGUUGCUCUUGCAUUGUAAUCAUAGAAGGAAAGCAAGGAGUUGCAUAGAUUGAGGCCACUGAUAACAAGGACGUAAGAACCUUAUUUUUCACAAGUCCAAAUUUUGGUGAUUCCAACAUUUUAAGAAUAAGUUGUAAAAACUGCCUGAGCUCGAGAGGAAUAUCCUGAGGAGUAUUUCUUAUGGUGAUUCCAACAGUUUAAGAAUAAGUUGUAAAAACUGUCUGAGCUCGAGAGGAAUAUCCUGAGGAGUAUUUCUUAAAGAUAAUGAUUUUAAAGAAGACAAUGUUUGCUCGGUGGACAGACUAUUCGGGCGCAAUGCAGGUGGGAGGUCUU
rnacentral:lncRNA from 1 species